rnacentral:lncRNA from 1 species
AGUCCACAGAUAAAGCCUGUCUGUCUGAUAAAUAAAGAAGUGGUGAUAUAACUGUAUUAUUUAGAGAUAGGGAAGUAACCACCCAGAAGAAUUUUUGAAACUGUAGCCGUUAAGAAGUCAGACUUGUUCUAGGGCUUGAGUGGAAGAUAAGAGUGCAGUGGUGCAGUCAUGGCUCACUGCAGCGUCUGCCUCCUGGACUCAAAGAAUCCUCCUACCUCAGCCUCCCAAGUAGCUAGGACCACAGAGUUGUGCUCUCCUGCAGCGUUUUGCGGACGGCUGGCUAUCUUACCCAGAAUCAAUCACACUGGGACACUGAAAAAAAAAAAAAAGGAAAAAAGAGCGAGGGAGUAAUUCUAGCCUGUUUUUACAAGAACACAGUGGCUAUAGACAGUGCCAGUGUGAAGAUGACUCAGCAAACGUGGAGAACCAAAGAUUCUAGGGCAGCACCAAAACUGGGAAAGCAAUUACAGCAGAAGUUGCCUUCCCCAUGGUAGCUUAGCAACUUCGUGUCUCUCCAAGGCAGAGAGGAAAAUCAAGUCUAACAGGCCUUCCCGAAGGCUAGGUGUGAAAUACCAGAAGCCAUCUUUGUUUCUGGCGAUGUCACUAAAUAAGUAUUUGUUGAUAUAAAGUA